rnacentral:rRNA from 2 species
GUGGAGCCUGCGGCUUAAUUUGACUCAACACGGGAAACCUCACCAGGCCCGGACACCAGAAGGAUUGACAGAUUAAGAGCUCUUUCUCGAUUUGGUGGGUGGUGGUGCAUGGCCGUUCUUAGUUGGUGGAGUGAUUUGUCUGGUUAAUUCCGGUAACGAACGAGACUCUGGCCUACUAAAUAGUCGACGGGCGUUUUGGUGCAUGGGCCCCGUUCGACACAGUCUUCUUAGAGGGAUGAGCAGCGAGUAUAGCUGCAGGAGAUUGAGCAAUAACAGGUCUGUGAUGCCCUUAGAUGUCCUGGGCCGCACGCGCGCUACACUGAAUGGGUUAGCGGGUUGUCCUUCUCCGAGAGGAGCGGGAAAUCGCUUGAAAACCAUUCGUGAUAGGGAUUGGGGCUUGCAAUUGUUUCCCAUGAACGAGGAAUUCCCAGUAAGCGCAAGUCAUCAGCUUGCGUUGAUUAAGUCCCUGCCCUUUGUACACACCGCCCGUCGCUACUACCGAUUGAAUGAUUUAGUGAGGCCUUCGGACUGGCGGUCUUGGACUGGGGCGCCGGCGUUUCUCAGCAAUGGGGACCCGGCGACCCGCCUAGACGGGCCGGAAAGAUGUCCAAACUUGAUCAUUUAGAGGAAGUAAAAGUCGUAACAAGGUUUCC